rnacentral:tRNA from 1 species
GCCUUCGUGGUGUAGUGGUCAGCAUGCUGGGCGCGUAUUCCAGAGACCCGUGGUUCGAGUCCCGGCGAAGGCG